UUCUGCAACGAAAAUGCUUCUUUGUUGUUGUGAUUGGGAAUUUUUUAAAUAAGUAUUCCGUUUGCUGUCCAUCAUCUUCAAUGCAAAUGUCAACAUUAGAAUUCACAUCAAAUCACAGAGAACAGCCAGCCGGAGAAUGGGUGUAAAUUUCAGGCAGACCACCAGGCAGGCAUUUUGACCUAUAGUAUCACAUACGUGCUUUAGUAGUCUGAGCCACAAAACCUGAUUUGAGGAAACAAGUUGACGCCACUGGUGAUCUUGAUCUUCAUGUAGUAAUGUAAUGGAUCAGCUCCUUUCUAGGAACAACACUCAGUGAGGAGUUGCUAUUUAAGACCUUCAAGAAUAUCAAGGAGAGUGUCUAUGCACAGAUCCAUCCAGAGCUAAAUCCGACUUGUAAUGCUUCAGAGAGACUAAGACAGAGAGAGAGAGUACAAUGGACUCACCAAACCUAAACUUGUGAAAGAUGGACCUGGGAAAAUCUCCAACGAGAAAGUUCUACAAUGGGGCUUGCCAAGCAAUCUGUGACACAGGAACCUCUGUUUUGGCCCAGCCAACAGCCGACGAGGAAUAGAUUCUAAGCUUGAUGGGAGCUGCACCUCUGGUCAAUCUCGUCAAAGUAAAGGAAACCGAGAUGGGAGUAACACUUAGCUUGAGUGGAUUCUUUAGAAUGGACGUCCAUAAACCCUCUUUGGAUCCUCGGUGACAUCUUCAUUGGUAAAUACUAUUUAAGUUUGAUUGAGUGGACAAGUGUGUAGGUUUCUCUGAUGCUGUCAAGGUUUUUGAAAUCAAGGCUGAGUAUUAAAAACCUACUUUGUAAACUGAAAGGAAUACUAUUAUUUGGUAAGGAUUAAUUGGCCCAACGAAAAUAAAAUUAUGUUUUCUUUUAGACGAAACAUGGGUAACAGGUUUGGCACAAAUAUAUAUCGCCCAGCUACCCACACUAGGUGCCUACUUUUUUUCGUCAUUUCUCGGGCAAAACCUGGAUUUCAAAACGUAGCUGAAGACGCUAGAGAUGAUAGAAUAGUGGUCACUGAGUCUAGUGGUUGGAAUGGUACCCUCUGACUAUAUUUUUUUAAUAAUUUUUUUUUAAAUAGAUUUUAUGUGAAUUUACCCAUUUUUAUACACUAGUUUGUGCUCCCCCCCUCGCAAAAAUAAUAGAUAAUAAAUAAAUAAUUAAAAUAAAGUAAUA